rnacentral:rRNA from 1 species
GGUUAAGCGACUAAGCGUACACGGUGGAUGCCCUGGCAGUCAGAGGCGAUGAAGGACGUGCUAAUCUGCGAAAAGCGUCGGUAAGGUGAUAUGAACCGUUACAGCCGGCGAUGUCCGAAUGGGGAAACCCAGUGCAAUUCGUUGCACUAUCGUUAACUGAAUACAUAGGUUAACGAGGCGAACCGGGGGAACUGAAACAUCUAAGUACCCCGAGGAAAAGAAAUCAACCGAGAUUCCCCCAGUAGCGGCGAGCGAACGGGGAGCAGCCCAGAGUCUGAAUCAGCUUGUGUGUUAGUGGAACGGUCUGGAAAGUCCGACGGUACAGGGUGAUAGUCCCGUACACCAAAAUGCACAGGCUGUGAACUCGAAGAGUAGGGCGGGACACGUGGUAUCCUGUCUGAAUAUGGGGGGACCAUCCUCCAAGGCUAAAUACUCCUGACUGACCGAUAGUGAACCAGUACCGUGAGGGAAAGGCGAAAAGAACCCCGGCGAGGGGAGUGAAAAAGAACCUGAAACCGUGUACGUACAAGCAGUGGGAGCACCUUCGGGUGUGACUGCGUACCUUUUGUAUAAUGGGUCAGCGACUUAUAUUCUGUAGCAAGGUUAACCGUAUAGGGGAGCCGCAGGGAAACCGAGUCUUAACUGGGCGUUAAGUUGCAGGGUAUAGACCCGAAACCCGGUGAUCUAGCCAUGGGCAGGUUGAAGGUUGGGUAACACUAACUGGAGGACCGAACCGACUAAUGUUGAAAAAUUAGCGGAUGACUUGUGGCUGGGGGUGAAAGGCCAAUCAAACCGGGAGAUAGCUGGUUCUCCCCGAAAGCUAUUUAGGUAGCGCCUCGUGAACUCAUCUUCGGGGGUAGAGCACUGUUUCGGCUAGGGGGUCAUCCCGACUUACCAACCCGAUGCAAACUACGAAUACCGAAGAAUGUUAUCACGGGAGACACACGGCGGGUGCUAACGUCCGUCGUGAAGAGGGAAACAACCCAGACCGCCAGCUAAGGUCCCAAAGUCAUGGUUAAGUGGGAAACGAUGUGGGAAGGCACAGACAGCCAGGAUGUUGGCUUAGAAGCAGCCAUCAUUUAAAGAAAGCGUAAUAGCUCACUGGUCGAGUCGGCCUGCGCGGAAGAUGUAACGGGGCUAAACCAUGCACCGAAGCUGCGGCAGCGACACUAUGUGUUGUUGGGUAGGGGAGCGUUCUGUAAGCCUGCGAAGGUGACCUGUGAGGGUUGCUGGAGGUAUCAGAAGUGCGAAUGCUGACAUAAGUAACGAUAAAGCGGGUGAAAAGCCCGCUCGCCGGAAGACCAAGGGUUCCUGUCCAACGUUAAUCGGGGCAGGGUGAGUCGACCCCUAAGGCGAGGCCGAAAGGCGUAGUCGAUGGGAAACAGGUUAAUAUUCCUGUACUUGGUGUUACUGCGAAGGGGGGACGGAGAAGGCUAUGUUAGCCGGGCGACGGUUGUCCCGGUUUAAGCAUGUAGGCUGGUUAUCCAGGCAAAUCCGGAUAAUCAAGGCUGAGGUGUGAUGACGAGGCACUACGGUGCUGAAGUAACAAAUGCCCUGCUUCCAGGAAAAGCCUCUAAGCAUCAGGUAACAUCAAAUCGUACCCCAAACCGACACAGGUGGUCAGGUAGAGAAUACCAAGGCGCUUGAGAGAACUCGGGUGAAGGAACUAGGCAAAAUGGUGCCGUAACUUCGGGAGAAGGCACGCUGGUGUGUAGGUGAAGUCCCUGCGGAUGGAGCUGAGACCAGUCGAAGAUACCAGCUGGCUGCAACUGUUUAUUAAAAACACAGCACUGUGCAAACACGAAAGUGGACGUAUACGGUGUGACGCCUGCCCGGUGCCGGAAGGUUAAUUGAUGGGGUUAUCCGUAAGGAGAAGCUCUUGAUCGAAGCCCCGGUAAACGGCGGCCGUAACUAUAACGGUCCUAAGGUAGCGAAAUUCCUUGUCGGGUAAGUUCCGACCUGCACGAAUGGCGUAAUGAUGGCCAGGCUGUCUCCACCCGAGACUCAGUGAAAUUGAACUCGCUGUGAAGAUGCAGUGUACCCGCGGCAAGACGGAAAGACCCCGUGAACCUUUACUAUAGCUUGACACUGAACAUUGAGCCUUGAUGUGUAGGAUAGGUGGGAGGCUUUGAAGCGUGGACGCCAGUCUGCGUGGAGCCAACCUUGAAAUACCACCCUUUAAUGUUUGAUGUUCUAACGUUGGCCCCUUACCGGGGUUGCGGACAGUGUCUGGUGGGUAGUUUGACUGGGGCGGUCUCCUCCCAAAGCGUAACGGAGGAGCACGAAGGUUAGCUAAUCCUGGUCGGACAUCAGGAGGUUAGUGCAAUGGCAUAAGCUAGCUUGACUGCGAGCGUGACGGCGCGAGCAGGUGCGAAAGCAGGUCAUAGUGAUCCGGUGGUUCUGAAUGGAAGGGCCAUCGCUCAACGGAUAAAAGGUACUCCGGGGAUAACAGGCUGAUACCGCCCAAGAGUUCAUAUCGACGGCGGUGUUUGGCACCUCGAUGUCGGCUCAUCACAUCCUGGGGCUGAAGUAGGUCCCAAGGGUAUGGCUGUUCGCCAUUUAAAGUGGUACGCGAGCUGGGUUUAGAACGUCGUGAGACAGUUCGGUCCCUAUCUGCCGUGGGCGCUGGAGAAUUGAGGGGGGCUGCUCCUAGUACGAGAGGACCGGAGUGGACGCAUCACUGGUGUUCGGGUUGUCAUGCCAAUGGCACUGCCCGGUAGCUAAAUGCGGAAGAGAUAAGUGCUGAAAGCAUCUAAGCACGAAACUUGCCCCGAGAUGAGUUCUCCCUGAGACUUUAAGUCUCCUGAAGGAACGUUAAAGACGAUGACGUUGAUAGGCCGGGUGUGUAAGCGCAGCGAUGCGUUGAGCUAACCGGUACUAAUGAACCGUGAGGCUUAACCUU